UAGUACUCAAUGACCAGACAGCCUUCUUAAAGCAAAGUAUUAUUUAUUUGGGUACUUUGAAUGAUUGAUCUCAGGCAUGAGUCAGCUUCCUUUAACUAGUAACCUUCCUCCCCCCCUCCCCCCACUCCUGCGGCAGAAUGUGACACUGUCAAGACAGCAGAGUUCUGCUUUUAUUUUUAGAGUACCAGCUGUGAGAAGAUCCAACAGAAUGAGAAACUGAUCUGUCUUAAUCUUGUGAGCUUCUGAGGUGCUGUUAUCAGGAACCCAGUACAAUGUGGAGCACUACAGAUGAUAGAAGCCUCAGCAAUACAACUGAAUUGAAUGCAUGAGUUAGUAAUGACUGUCAGAAAGACAUUGCCCUACUAGACCUGUUAUGGCCUCCUUAAUGAAGAAAAGCUAAGAAGGUGCCUGGAGAGAAAGGAAAAGAGACCCUUCUUCAUGUUGGAGAGAGAAGGAGGGACAACAUAAAUAACUUUAGAACAGAGUCCUUAAUAGCACUGUACAAGGUUCAGGUUCAUAAACCUCCUUAGUCUCAGCCAUAUUUUCUUUUAUUUGCCUACAGGAAGAAAAUAAAUGUGGCUUUUAAACAAGAA